rfam:Danio rerio unplaced genomic contig NA24, GRCz11 reference primary assembly.
GCCGGCAGCUAGCUCUCUGCAACUCUCACAUGGCCGCCCACUGAAGCUAAACAGGGCUGUGCCCGGUCAGUACCUGAAUGGGAGACCACAUGGGAAAGCUAGGUUGCUGCCGGAA